rnacentral:lncRNA from 1 species
GCACAGGUGCCGGUGCAAUCUAAGAACCCAGAUGCAUCAGCUCCUGGCAUUACCUAAAUAUUAUUUCAAAAAGAUAAUGGGCAUUGAAGACCCUCCAUAUGGAGUUUGAUUCAUAUGUGGCAAAGCUAGCCACCUGGCAAAAGACUGUCCUUGCUUCAAUUGCUGACAACAUGCUGUCUAAACCAUGGACAGUGGGACACAGAGGAAGUCAACUGCCAAAUGUUUCCAAGACAAGACAGGGUUUCUCUUUGUAGCCCUGGCUGUCCUGGAGCUCACUCUGUAGACUAGGCUGGCCUCGAAAUCCACCUGCCUCUUCCUCCCAAGUGCUGGGAUUAAAGGCAUGAGCCACCACUGCCCAGCAUGAAUGUAAUUCUUACCUGAUAGCUUUCAUAAUUGUUCUUAUUGUAUACAGUUUAUUGAUGUUAGAGAAAGAGCCUUUUAUUGGACAAAGACAGGGAGAGUUUUAAGGUGAUCUUUUUGUGCAAUACAGUCUAGCCCAAACAAGGCACCAGAAUCAGUAAAAGACCCUGUCUCAGGGGGUGAGAGGAAGCAAAAAGCAAGAAGAUACUAUUUAGACCUCUAUCCUAGCCAUGCUCAUAUCACACACACACACACACACACACACACACACACACACACACACACACAGGGAAUACAGGACAGGAGGUGGGAAAGGAUGGAAGAUCUCAGCCUGUUUGGGUUUCUCAUUAUGAAGAAUGACGGGACCGAUCAGUUCUCUUGAGAGUAAAAGAGUAGUGGUGGUUGGGGAAAGAUGGGAAAGACAGAUGGUUUGAGAACAUUGCAGUGCUGAGGGAAAUUAGGACUCACCAGGGAACCAUCCCAGCAGGAAGCUGAGAUUCUGAGCCUGGCCUCAAGAAGAAAGAAAGCAGCUUGGGACAUCAGGCCCAUCGGGGCCUUGAAAGGGAAGAAAAAGCCCAGAUCAAGGGAUGAAGGAGGCCCUGCAGUCAACACUCUGGUGCCGGUACAAGCUGGAGCCAGGAGGGCAUCGGAAAUGGCUGGGUAGCUCCAUCUGACCCUAAGCUCCUGGGGAAGGGACCAGGGAUGGAGAGGAUAGUCAAGUGUCCUUUGGCAGCUCCGGUCUCCUCACGCUGAUCACAGAGUUGUGCUGAAGGAGAAGCAGGUUGGUGGAUGUGGGUGCUCUCUGAGAACAAUAAGAAAGUCCAUGUUCUCUACGACAGCCUCAGAUUCACCUCUUCUAAUCUGUCAUGGAGGAUCCAGAGACAUCAGGCCCAAGCUAGAUGUGGUUACAAUACCCACUGUCUCAAGAAGAAAACAAAAACAAAGCCUUCUCAGAACGAAGACUCAAGUCUGGUCCCUGACCACAUCUUGUCAACAUGCCAUAUUUUUCUUCACACACAGUACCUGGGCCCUUUGAUUAGCGUCUCAGACCCUCAGUAACUUCUCCCACAUCUAGAUUUCUAUACCUCCUAUAAAUCUAUGUCACCACUGAAUAUCAGUGAAUAUUAACAUUCUUUGAAUCAGCAGCAAAAUCUCACUGACCAUUAAAGACUCGUCAAGUCUU